GCUUCGAUAUAGACAAUUAGUCAACAGCAGUUUUGCAGACCUCCAGAAGCCACAGAUGGAUCUUGAUGGGAAGGCUUGUGCUGGUGUUGGACAGAGCAGCCUCAUGGCUUACUAUGAGACUAUGUUUGACCAGUUGGAUGUGACGGUGGCUCAAAUGCUUGUGACUGAUAGCAGUUUUAGAGAUAAAGAUUUCAGGAAGCAACU